UACGAAGGGGGCUAGCGUUGUUCGGAAUCACUGGGCGUAAAGCGCACGUAGGCGGAUCUUUAAGUCAGGGGUGAAAUCCCGAGGCUCAACCUCGGAACUGCCUUUGAUACUGGGGAUCUCGAGUCCGGGAGAGGUGAGUGGAACUGCGAGUGUAGAGGUGAAAUUCGUAGAUAUUCGCAAGAACACCAGUGGCGAAGGCGGCUCACUGGCCCGGCAUUGACGCUGAGGAGCGAAAGCUAGGGGAGCAAACGGG
rnacentral:rRNA from 1 species